GUACUAUGAGAGUCCGCUGCUGUGAUGGAGCGGCAGCCAGGGCGCCUUUCCUGAUGCUCUGGACUCUGAAGCUGUGAGCCCGAAUCCUUUCUCCUUGAAGUUGCUGUUGUCAGGAAUUUUGCCUCUGUGACAAGAAAAGGUAUUGAAAUGGCGGUGAUCCAGAAGUAACUGCUAUGACCCCUGUUCCACCUUUUACCCUCCUGCCUUCUGGCAUGGGAUGAUGGGACAAGACCUUUGACCUUGGAUUUCCUAGCACCUCUAGGAUCUCUUCACUGAACCUGGAGCUCAUCAAGUAGGCGAAACUGGAUGGCCUGUGAUCUAACCCCAUCUCCAGGAAUCCUGUCUCUGCUUCUCUAGUUCUGGGAUUAUAAGCACAUGCCACUG